rnacentral:lncRNA from 10 species
GGCCGGGACCUGAGUGUCAGGCUCGAGAAGUGAGAAGCAGCCCCUGCUCUCAGACCCAGUGAGAUGUCAGUAACCAGAGACAAGAGCCAGGCCAGGAGAACAGCUAAACCACCGCGGACGUUCAGACCAUGAGACAUGACUCAACCGCACCAGGGAUGAGUGAGCUGCGGACGCGGAAGUGCGGUGAAUGUCAAGGCCAUUGUGCCGGGUGGGAGAAGCCAGA